rnacentral:rRNA from 1 species
UAACACCAGCGCCACGAGUAGCGUCCGCUUUUAUUUGGCCUAAAGCGUUCGUAGCCUGUUUGAUAAGUUCUUUGUGAAAUCGUUGAGCUUAACUUAACGGUGUGCAAGGAAUACUAUCAGACUUGGAACCGGGAGGAGUCAAAGGAAUGUUUGGGGGAGCGGUAAAAUGCUAUAAUCCCAAGUAGACCACCUGUGGCGAAGGCGUUUGACUAGAACGGGUUCGACGGUGAGGAACGAAAGCCAGGGGAGCAAAACGGAUUAGAUAUCAAAAACCUUCGGUUUUUGGAACAUUCUUAUAUUCAUUCGAAUGUACGAGAAACAGGGGACAAAAACCCGUGUAGUCCUGGCUGUAAACUCUGCGAGCUAGGUGUUGCGCAUUCUUUAAGGAUGCGCAGUAUCGUAGUGAAGACGUUAAGCUCGCCGCCUGGGAAUUACGGUCGCAAGGCUG